rnacentral:rRNA from 1 species
AUGAACGCUGGCGGCGUGCCUAAUACCUGCAAGUCGAGCGAACAGACGAGGAGCUUGCUCCUCUGACGUUAGCGGCGGACGGGUGAGUAACACGUGGAUAACCUACCUAUAAGACUGGGAUAACUUCGGGAAACCGGAGCUAAUACCGGAUAAUAUAUUGAACCGCAUGGUUCAAUAGUGAAAGACGGUUUUGCUGUCACUUAUAGGUGGAUCCGCGCCGCAUUAGCUAGUUGGUAAGGUAACGGCUUACCAAGGCAACGAUGCGUAGCCGACCUGAGAGGGUGAUCGGCCACCCUGGAACUGAGACACGGUCCAGACUCCUACGGGAGGCAGCAGUAGGGAAUCUUCCGCAAUGGGCGAAAGCCUGACGGGGCAACGCCGCGUGAGUGAUGAAGGUCUUCGGAUCGUAAAACUCUGUUAUUAGGGAAGAACAAAUGUGUAAGUAACUAUGCACGUCUUGACGGUACCUAAUCAGAAAGCCACGGCUAACUACGUG